GUGGAAUCUGCUUCCAACAGAGUGCUUUCACAAAGUUCAUUUGAGACUGAGUGGACCACACCUUCAAUGGAUAGCAGGUGUUCAUUAUAGGCUACAACCAAUAUGCAUAAGAGAUUCUUCACAGUGGGAGUUUUGAAGGCAGAACAGCCCUACAUUGGGGCAUCAUCCUAAAAGUUUUGAGAAGGGAAAUGGCAUCUGAUGGACAGUUUUGAUGGAUGCAUACAUAUCCAACUGUUCCUUCCAAACAAACUCCUCGGGUGCAUCUUACGUGGGAGUUGUGGAUGUAUCAAAGCCUCAUCCUUUAUUGCCAGCCUAGUGAAGCUUCUGCAUUUAUUGGCUUCUUUCAGUGAGGGAGACUCUUAAAAGAAUUGAGAUAUAUGACAAUCAAGACCUGGUUCUUUCUCACCGCCAUUCAGGAGUGACUGACAAGCACCACCUUCUGGAGAAAAUGUGAAGUUAGUGUCAAAGUUGAUGAUCUCUGACACUACUGUGCUUUUCACAGGUACCCAGAGUUGAAGCUCCCUCUGAUUCCAGCACCAGUCUAACCCCAUGUUCCUGAAGCAGUUUCUUUACCUUUAUUCUAACCAGAGUGAUCUACCUUUUGCCUUAAGGAAGAUAUAAAGCAGUGUAAGUUGGAAAAUCAA